UAGGGAAUCUUCGGCAAUGGACGGAAGUCUGACCGAGCAACGCCGCGUGAGUGAAGAAGGUUUUCGGAUCGUAAAGCUCUGUUGUUAGAGAAGAACGUUGGUAGGAGUGGAAAAUCUACCAAGUGACGGUAACUAACCAGAAAGGGACGGCUAACUACGUGCCAGCAGCCGCGGUAAUACGUAGGUCCCGAGCGUUGUCCGGAUUUAUUGGGCGUAAAGCGAGCGCAGGCGGUUCUUUAAGUCUGAAGUUAAAGGCAGUGGCUUAACCAUUGUACGCUUUGGAAACUGGAGAACUUGAGUGCAGGAGGGGAGAGUGGAAUUCCAUGUGUAGCGGUGAAAUGCGUAGAUAUAUGGAGGAACACCGGUGGCGAAAGCGGCUCUCUGGUCUGUAACUGACGCUGAGGCUCGAAAGCGUGGGGAGCAAACAGG
rnacentral:rRNA from 1 species